rnacentral:rRNA from 1 species
UACGGGGGGGGUAAGCGUUGUUCGGAAUUACUGGGCGUAAAGGGCUCGUAGGCGGCCAACUAAGUCGGACGUGAAAUCCCUCAGCUUAACUGGGGAACUGCGUCCGAUACUGGAUGGCUUGGAUUUGGGAGAGGGAUGCGGAAUUCCAGGUGUAGCGGUGUAAUGCGUAGAUAUCUGGAGGAACACCGGUGGCGAAGGCGGCAUCCUGGACCAAUAUUGACGCUGAGGAGCGAAAGCUAGGGGAGCAAACGGG